rnacentral:rRNA from 1 species
AGACCUAAUACUGCAAGUCCGACGAAGAGACCUUCGGGUCUCUAGUGGCGAACGGGUGAGUAACACGUAGGGAACCUGCCCGCGCACCGGGAAUACGCUCUGGAAACGGAGAACAAAUCCCGAUGUACAGGAAGGAGGCAUCUUCUUUCUGUGAAACAUCCUUUAGGGGAUGGGGCGCGGAUGGACCUGCGGUGCAUUAGUUGGUUGGCGGGGUAAAGGCCCACCAAGACGAUGAUGCAUAGCCGGCCUGAGAGACUGAUCGGCCACAUUGGGACUGAGACACGGCCCAAACUCCUACGGGAGGCAGCAGUAGGGAAUCUUCCACAAUGGACGAAAGUCUGAUGGAGCAACGCCGCGUGAGUGAAGAAGGGUUUCGGCUCGUAAAGCUCUGUUGGUAGUGAAGAAAGAUAGAGGUAGUAACUGGCCUUUAUUUGACGGUAAUUACUUAGAAAGUCACGGCUAACUACGUGCCGGCAGCCGCGGUAAUACGUAGGUGGCGAGCGUUAUCCGGAAUGAUUGGGCGUAAAGGGUGCGCAGGCGGUCCUGCAAGUCUGGAGUGAAACGCAUGAGCUCAACUCAUGCAUGGCUUUGGAAACUGGAGGACUGGAGAGCAGGAGAGGGCGGGGGAACUCCAUGUGUAGCGGUAAAAUGCGUAAAUAUAUGGAAGAACCCCAGUGGCGAAUGCGGCCGCCUGUUCUGUUGCCGACGCUGAGGCACGAACACCAGCGGAAGCAAAAAUAUAUUAUAAAC